rnacentral:lncRNA from 10 species
CCUAGCUCAGUCCCCAAGCAGCUAGGACAGGUCUGAUGCUGGUCUGGGCAGAAAUGGAUUUGUCACCUCAAAGAUGACUUCCUUGGGCACAACUAGGCCAGACGCUGGGUACCUUGUGGUGGCCCUGGAGGGGUACAGCUUCAAGAAAGAACUUGCCGAUCCCCUGCAAAGAAUGCAGUUAGCCAACAGCCUUCGGCCUCAGCACAUUUGAGAUCUGCCUUAACUUUCAAGCCAAGGCUAGCUCUUCCUGAGCAGGCUCCAGCGAAGAACCUGCAUGGAGGGACUAGGACCCGACCAGUUCUGCCCAACAUGGGGCUCCCCUAACAAACAGUCUUUGUUCUGGAGCUCCCAAACUGAGUUGACAAAGCCUCUGUCAGCCCUGCAUUGCCGUCUGAGGCUCCCCUGCUGAGUGCUGCUUUCACCCACUUUUGUCUUUCACAGGCAUGACACUCCUCCCUCUCGUCCUACUAGCUCCACUUUACCAUCUGCUUCCCAGAGGACUGGAACUGACAUGCUGCCUUUACUACCCCGCAACCAUUCUCACCCCACCUCCACAUAUGCCUGCCCAAAUAAUCUUGAUUUUGGGCUCAGCUACUAGAUCGAAAUCCCUUCAUCUUUGGAGAGUGGGUUGCUCCCCAGCCCCAGCAGAUAAAUCAUGAUCUGUCUUAAGUAGACCCAGUAAGUCCUUUCUGUUCUACAGGAAUUGGUCCAGGAUGGGUGCCUGGUCCGCCUUUUAGCCAAUGAGAGGUCAGGGGAAAUCUGGGGCUUCACUUUACUAAUAACAUAGACCUUCAGGUAGUUAAAGCCUUCUGCCCUGCCCCUUCCCUUCCAUUUUGAUCAGUGUCCUGUGAUCAAAUGAUGUGAGGCACUGCAGCAGCUGUUUUGGGCAAUGAGUUUGAGGACAAAAGCCAACUGCUGAAGAUGACAGAGCAGAAAGAUGAGAAGAGCCUGAGUCCUGAAGAACACCCCCGAGCCCCUGCAAUGACUCUGGAGCUGCUGACCUCCACAUGUUUUGCUAUAAAAAAAAAGAUUGCAUUUCUUCUUUGCUCAAGCCACCAUGAAUCAGGCAUGCUGUGACUGGCCGCUGAAAAUAUGGUAACGCAUGCAGUCACAUUCCCCAUGUUCUAUUCUCCAGAUUACCUUCAAACAACUGAAGGUACAGGACUCAGAGUUCCCGUUGAGGUAUUUGAACUAUUUUCCUGGAAGGGAAAUAUUCAAAAAGUCCUCUCAGCCCCGGGCACAGUGGCUUACACUGUGGAUUACAAAAGGACUUUUAAGGACUCAUAGGAUUACAAAAUCCUGUAAUCCCAGCACUUUGGUGGGCAGGUCACCUGAGAUCAGGAGUUCAAGACCAGCCUGGCCAAAAUGGUGAAAUCCCGUCUGUACUAAAAUUAUAAAAAUUACCGAGUGUGGAGGUGCAUGCCUGUAAUUCCAGCUACUGGGGAGGCUGAGGCAGGAGAAUCACUUGAACCCGGGAGGCCGAGGUUGCAGUGAGCUGAGAUCACACCAUUGCACUCUAGCCUGGGCAACAGAGUGAGACUGCAUCUAAAAAAAAAAACCAAAAAAAUUAUCUCAUUUCCAACUUGCCAACACCUGUGAUAAUGUAAACCAAAAAUGAAAUUCUAAGCCCCUCAACUGACUGAAUGAAUCCCCAUCUUCACCAAGGUGAUCCCAAAGAAAACCUGAAAAACUAGUUCAGGCCAUGAUGGGAAGGAAGGUCAGAUAUGCCUCUUCGCCUCUUCAUACUUUCCUCCCUUUGGAGUUUAGGCACAACUGGUCAGCAUUCAUAUUAAAAUACAGAUCAUCAUAGGGCGGGCAUGGUGGCUCACGCCUGUAAUCCCAGCACUUUGGGAGGCCGAGGCAGGCAGAUCACUUGAAGUCAGGAGUUUGAGACCAGCCUGGCCAACAUGGUGAAACCCCGUCUCUACCAAAAAUACAAAAAUUAGCCAGGCAUGGUGGCAGGCGCCUGUAAUCCCAGCUACUUGGGAGGCUGAGGCAGGAGAAUUGCUUGAACCUGGGAGGUGGAGGUUGCAGUGAGCUGAGUUCGCUCCACUGCAAUCCAGCCUGGGUGACAGAGCGAGACUCCAUCUCAAAAAACAAAACAAAACACAAAAAACCAGAUCAUCAGAUGGACAAAACAGACUCUUUGUGCAAUAAGAUACCAAAUUCCAACCUGACCCUGUAUGUGAUGUAGAGCAUAACAGUGACAGAUAACAGGCCCUAAGGAAAGUCAAAGUAUUUUACCCCAAGAUAUAUUUAUUUGACAUAUUUUGGAGUGACCCUGCAAAGCCCACUCUUUGCCUUCUGUAGCGAAUCCCCUUCCUGUUCCAGGUCUUUUCCUGAUCCAGGAGAGAAUUAAACUAAGAGUCUAACACCUUUUGAGGUCUAAUAAGAGAAAUCUACCAUCUAUCCUGUCUGAAGCUGGGUGCUUAGAGGCUUCAUCUACAUAAACAAGAACCUUGGCUUCCACAACUCUCUUACCUUAACUCAAGCAUUUCUUUUUCUUUCUUUUUUUUUUUUUUGAGUUGGGUUCUCACCCUGUCACCUAGGCUGGAGUGCAGUGGUGUGAUCUCAGCUCACUGAAACCUCUGCCUCCCAGGUUCAAGCCAUCCUCCUGACUCCACCUCCUGAUAGCUGGGAGCACAGGUGCGUACCACCACGCUGGGCUAAUUUUUGGUAGAGUCAGGGGUCUCUCCAUGUUGCCCAGUCUGGCCUGGGACUCCUAGGCUCAAGCGAUCCACCCGUCUUGGCCUCCUAAAGUGCUGGGAUUAUAGGUGUGAGCCACCGCACCUGACCUCAAACAUUUCUUUAUGCUGACUUCAACUCCUCAGGCAAUGCUUCACUCUUUCAAUCAAUUGCCAAUAAGGAAAUCUUCGAAUCCACCUAUGCCCUGGAAGUCCCUCUGCUUCCAUCUUUGAGAUGUCCUGCCUUUUGAGGCUGAACCAAUGUAUACAUUUCAUGUAUUGCUUUAUGUCUUUGUUUGUGACUUCCAUCUCUCUAAAAUGUAUAAAACCAAACUGCAACCUGACCACCUUGUGCAUAUGUCCUCAGGACCCCCUGAGGCUGUGUCACGGGCCAUGAUCACUCAUAUUUGGGUCAGAAUAAACUUCUUCAAAUAUUUUACGGAGUUUGGCUUUUUUCCUCAACAAUACUUACCUCUCCCUUGCUUCAAACCCUCCCAUGGCUCCCCAGUACUUUUUCAGUUUUUUUUUUGAGACAGAGUUUUGCUCUUUUUGUCCAGGCUGGAGUGUCGUGGUGCGAUC